rnacentral:rRNA from 1 species
UACGUAGGGAGCAAGCGUUGUCCGGAAUCAUUGGGCGUAAAGCGCGCGUAGGUGGCCUCAUAAGUCCGCUGUGAAGUCCAAGGCUCAACCUUGGAAAGCCGGUGGAUACUGUGAGGCUAGAGUACGGAAGAGGCGAGUGGAAUUCCUGGUGUAGCGGUGGAAUGCGCAGAUAUCAGGAGGAACACCAAUAGCGAAGGCAGCUCGCUGGGACGUUACUGACACUGAGGCGCGAAAGCGUGGGGAGCGAACAGG